rnacentral:rRNA from 1 species
UAGGGAAUCUUCGGCAAUGGACGGAAAGUCUGACCGAGCAACGCCGCGUGAGUGAAGAAGGUUUUCGGAUCGUAAACUCUGUUGGUAGAGAAGAACGUUGGUGAGAGCGGAAAGCUCAUCAAGUGACGGUAACUACCAGAAAGGGCGGCUAACUACGUACCAG